UACGAAGGGUGCAAGCGUUAAUCGGAAUUACUGGGCGUAAAGCGCGCGUAGGUGGUUCAGUAAGUUGGAAGUGAAAUCCCCGGGCUCAACCUGGGAACUGCUUUCAAAACUGCUGAGCUAGAGUACGGUAGAGGGUGGCGGAAUUUCCUGUGUAGCGGUGAAAUGCGUAGAUAUAGGAAGGAACACCAGUGGCGAAGGCGACCACCUGGACUGAUACUGACACUGAGGUGCGAAAGCGUGGGGAGCAAACAGG
rnacentral:rRNA from 1 species